rnacentral:lncRNA from 1 species
GGAGAAUGGAGUUGCCAUCCGCGUGAUGGGGAUGGCUGUGGGAGGAGAGGUUUGGGGUGAGGGAAUCAGGAACUGAGUGCUGGACAUGGCAAGUCUGAAGGCGCAGUGGUCGUCCACUCAGAGACCUUGGAGUUGGAGAUGGAGGUGUGGGAGUCCUGAACAGUUAGAUGUAGUGUUUACCGCGAGAAGGAACAGGGCUUGCGGCCAGCCCUCCUGUGUUCCCGUGACCCAGGGCAGGGCAGGAGGGGCCUGAGCCUGCCGAGUGACUGGGACCUCCUUCCAGGAGAUCAUGCACGCCCUGAAGAUGACCUGGCACGUGCACUGCUUUACCUGUGCUGCCUGCAAGACGCCCAUCCGGAACAGGGCCUUCUACAUGGAGGAGGGCGUGCCCUAUUGCGAGCGAGACUAUGAGAAGAUGUUUGGCACGAAAUGCCAUGGCUGUGACUUCAAGAUCGACGCUGGGGACCGCUUCCUGGAGGCCCUGGGCUUCAGCUGGCAUGACACCUGCUUCGUCUGUGCGAUAUGUCAGAUCAACCUGGAAGGAAAGACCUUCUAC